GUUCGGCUCAGUGAUUCCAUUCUUACAAUGCUCUCCGAUUUCGAAUCUAGCAUCCAAAAGGACUCGUCAAGGACACCGGUUCCAGGAGGCGACGUGCAUCCUCUAACACUGCAUUCGAUGAAUUACCUCACUCUUCUCGGCGAUUACGGUAGUAUCCUCUCAGAUAUUAUCUCUGACUGGCCUCCACCGGUGAAGUCAUCGCUACCUAAAUCUUACUUCGACAGU
rnacentral:misc_RNA from 1 species